rnacentral:rRNA from 1 species
CCUACGGGAUGCUGCAGUGAGGAAUAUUGGUCAAUGGACGAGAGUCUGAACCAGCCAAGUAGCGUGAAGGAUGACUGCCCUAUGGGUUGUAAACUUCUUUUAUAUGGGAAUAAAACGUUCCACGUGUGGGAUUUUGUAUGUACCAUAUGAAUAAGGAUCGGCUAACUCCGUGCCAGCAGCCGCGGUAAUACGGAGGAUCCGAGCGUUAUCCGGAUUUAUUGGGUUUAAAGGGAGCGUAGGUGGAUUGUUAAGUCAGUUGUGAAAGUUUGCGGAUCAACCGUAAAAUUGCAGUUGAAACUGGCAGUCUUGAGUACAGUAGAGGUGGGCGGAAUUCGUGGUGUAGCGGUGAAAUGCUUAGAUAUCACGAAGAACUCCGAUUGCGAAGGCAGUUCACUGGACUGCAACUGACACUGAGGCUCGAAAGUGUGGGUAUCAAACAGGAUUAGAUACCCCAGUAGUC